UUUUUUUUUUUUUUUUUCACUCAAGCAUCCAAACGAGGUUUUGGGAUCUGUAAGCAGGUAACCAAGUUUGAAAAAUAAUGAUGGAAAUUUAAUAUUUCUUCUUCCCUUCCCUAUAACGAUGAUUAAUAAAAAGACAGCUUCAGUAUGACCUGUCCCUCCUCCUCUGCACACACUUUCCAUUUUCCUACAGACUGCUAAUGACUACCACUGUAAUUGUUAGGUGUGCUGAUCAUAGGAAAGGAAUGUAUUUCAUGCUGCUGUUUAUUCUGGGUCUAUAAAGCUGAUAUUAAUGUGGUUCUCCUAUCUGAGUUGAUUAAUUGCCACUGAAUUAGGGGCUGUGCUUUUGAAGGAAUUUAACCUUUUCUAUUCAUAGCAAACAUGUUAAUGCUGGCAAGGAAAGUUUGUUAUCUGUGUGUUACCCUGGUUUGUUGCAGAUGUGAUCCCCUGAGUAGGGUUUAAAAUGUUAUGAGCCUACAACUAUAAACAGUUUUUCAUGUGACUGGAAGGUUUUUUGACUAAACACCUUGCUAAGUGUACACUGAGAGUGUUGCGUGUAAACUAUCCUGCUAUACAGGCCUUGCUGUCAAUGAUGUUAUUUAGUUGAACUUAUUUGGCGCUGAUUUUUUAAAGAAUACUAUUAUUUGAAGAAUAAUAUUAUCUAGUGAGUCAUGCUGAGAGAAUUGUUUGUAAAUAUGCCAGGAGAAACUAAUGUAGAAAACACUUGAAACCAGUUCUAUGAAAAUUGGAGAGGGAAAUAAGCUGAAUGAUAUAUCUAUACAUCUAUAGAUGUAUAUACACAUUUUUUUAACUAGGCCAGCGAUUUUGUUAAAAUAUGAAAGCGUUCAGGCCAAAAAGAGUUCCUAUGCCAGGAAGACUUGUGUUCUUCCCCAAAUGCUUCUAUUAUAAAUCAUCUUGUUCCUUAAGUGGGCAUUAUGUUACUGUAUUUUAUAGGAACCUUUCCAAAAGAAAUUUAAUUACAUUGUCAUUUUAGAUGGUAAGAAUAAGCUGCACAGUAUACAGUUCCCCAAAAGUGAAUUCACUUUUGAUGCGCCAUCUGUUGCUACAAUACAAUACAAAUAGUUGGAAAAGAGAA
ensembl:lncRNA